AUCCUGGCUCAGAUUGAACGCUGGCGGCAGGCCUAACACAUGCAAGUCGAGCGGUAGAGAGGUGCUUGCAUCUCUUGAGAGCGGCGGACGGGUGAGUAAUGCCUAGGAAUCUGCCUGGUGGUGGGGGAUAACGUUCGGAAACGGACGCUAAUACCGCAUACGUCCUACGGGAGAAAGCGGGGGAUCUUCGGACCUCGCGCCAUUAGAUGAGCCUAGGUCGGAUUAGCUAGUUGGUGAGGUAAUGGCUCACCAAGGCGACGAUCCGUAACUGGUCUGAGAGGAUGAUCAGUCACACUGGAACUGAGACACGGUCCAGACUCCUACGGGAGGCAGCAGUGGGGAAUAUUGGACAAUGGGCGAAAGCCUGAUCCAGCCAUGCCGCGUGUGUGAAGAAGGUCUUCGGAUUGUAAAGCACUUUAAGUUGGGAGGAAGGGUAGUAACCUAAUACGUUGCUACUUUGACGUUACCGACAGAAUAAGCACCGGCUAACUUCGUG
rnacentral:rRNA from 1 species